AGAGUUUGAUCCUGGCUCAGAUUGAACGCUGGCGGCAGGCCUAACACAUGCAAGUCGAGCGGCAGCACGGGUACUUGUACCUGGUGGCGAGCGGCGGACGGGUGAGUAAUGCCUAGGAAUCUGCCUGGUAGUGGGGGAUAACGCUCGGAAACGGACGCUAAUACCGCAUACGUCCUACGGGAGAAAGCAGGGGACCUUCGGGCCUUGCGCUAUCAGAUGAGCCUAGGUCGGAUUAGCUAGUUGGUGAGGUAAUGGCUCACCAAGGCGACGAUCCGUAACUGGUCUGAGAGGAUGAUCAGUCACACUGGAACUGAGACACGGUCCAGACUCCUACGGGAGGCAGCAGUGGGGAAUAUUGGACAAUGGGCGAAAGCCUGAUCCAGCCAUGCCGCGUGUGUGAAGAAGGUCUUCGGAUUGUAAAGCACUUUAAGUUGGGAGGAAGGGCAGUUACCUAAUACGUAAUUGUUUUGACGUUACCGACAGAAUAAGCACCGGCUAACUCUGUGCCAGCAGCCGCGGUAAUACAGAGGGUGCAAGCGUUAAUCGGAAUUACUGGGCGUAAAGCGCGCGUAGGUGGUUCGUUAAGUUGGAUGUGAAAUCCCCGGGCUCAACCUGGGAACUGCAUUCAAAACUGACGAGCUAGAGUAUGGUAGAGGGUGGUGGAAUUUCCUGUGUAGCGGUGAAAUGCGUAGAUAUAGGAAGGAACACCAGUGGCGAAGGCGACCACCUGGACUGAUACUGACACUGAGGUGCGAAAGCGUGGGGAGCAAACAGGAUUAGAUACCCUGGUAGUCCACGCCGUAAACGAUGUCAACUAGCCGUUGGGAGCCUUGAGCUCUUAGUGGCGCAGCUAACGCAUUAAGUGACCGCCUGGGGAGUACGGUCGCAAGAUUAAACUCAAAGGAAUUGACGG
rnacentral:rRNA from 1 species